UACGAAGGGUGCAAUCGUUACUCGGAAUUAGUGGGCGUAAAGCGUGCGUAGGUGGUUCGUUAAGUCUGAUGUGAAAGCCCUGGGCUCAACCUGGGAAUGGCAUUGGAAACUGGUGGGCUAGAGUGCGGUAGAGGGUAGUGGAAUUCCCGGUGUAGCAGUGAAAUGCGUAGAGAUCGGGAGGAACAUCCGUGGCGAAGGCGACUGCCUGGACCAGCACUGACACUGAGGCACGAAAGCGUGGGGAGAAAACAGG
rnacentral:rRNA from 1 species